CAUGCAAGUCGAACGGUAGCAGGAAGUGCUUGCACUUUGCUGACGAGUGGCGGACGGGUGAGUAAUGCUUGGGAACUUGCCUUUAGGUGGGGGAUAACAGUUGGAAACGACUGCUAAUACCGCAUAAUGUCUACGGACCAAAGGGGGCUUCGGCUCCCGCCUAGAGAGAGGCCCAAGUGAGAUUAGCUAGUUGGUGGGGUAAAGGCCUACCAAGGCAACGAUCUCUAGCUGUUCUGAGAGGAAGAUCAGCCACACUGGGACUGAGACACGGCCCAGACUCCUACGGGAGGCAGCAGUGGGGAAUAUUGCACAAUGGGGGAAACCCUGAUGCAGCCAUGCCGCGUGUGUGAAGAAGGCCUUCGGGUUGUAAAGCACUUUCAGUUGUGAGGAAAGGUUGGUAGUUAAUACCUGCCAGCUGUGACGUUAACAACAGAAGAAGCACCGGCUAACUCCGUGCCAGCAGCCGCGGUAAUACGGAGGGUGCGAGCGUUAAUCGGAAUUACUGGGCGUAAAGCGCACGCAGGCGGCUUGUUAAGCUAGAGGUGAAAGCCCCGCGCUCAACGUGGGAACUGCCUUUAGAACUGGCAGGCUAGAGUCUUGGAGAGGGGAGUGGAAUUCCAGGUGUAGCGGUGAAAUGCGUAGAUAUCUGGAGGAACAUCAGUGGCGAAGGCGGCUCCNUGGCCAAAGACUGACGCUCAUGUGCGAAAGUGUGGGUAGCGAACAGGAUUAGAUACCCUGGUAGUCCACACCGUAAACGCUGUCUACUAGCUGUUUGUGUAUUUAAUACGUGAGUAGCGAAGCUAACGCGCUAAGUAGACCGCCUGGGGAGUACGGCCGCAAGGUUAAAACUCAAAUGAAUUGACGGGGGGCCCGCACAAGCGGUGGAGCAUGUG
rnacentral:rRNA from 1 species